rnacentral:misc_RNA from 1 species
AGAUGUGUAUAAGAGAAAGGUGAGUCAUCGAAUCUUUGAACGCACAUUGCGCCCAUUAGUAUUCUAUUGGGCAUGCCUGUUCGAGCGUCAUUUCAACCCUCAGGCUUUGGUCUGGUGCUGGGGCAUUGCACUGCAAGCCCUGAAUAAUAGUGGCGGACUCACUGAAAUCCGAGCGUAGUAACUUUUUCUCGCUAUGGACUUUCAAUGGUGUACCUGCCGUAAAAAACCCCCUAUAUUACAAGGUUGACCUCGGAUCAGGUAGGAAUACCCGCUGAACUUAAGCAUAUCAAUAAGCGGAGG